rnacentral:rRNA from 1 species
CUUAUGAUGGCGACCGGCGCACGGGUGCGUAACGCGUAUGCAACCUACCUUUUACAGGGGCAUAACACUGAGAAAUUGGUACUAAUUCCCCAUAAUAUCUGAGACGGCAUCGUUUUGGGUUGAAAACUCCGGCGGUAAAAGAUGGGCAUGCGUUGUAUUAGCUAGUUGGUGAGGUAACGGCUCACCAAGGCGACGAUACAUAGGGGGACUGAGAGGUUAACCCCCCACAUUGGUACUGAGACACGGACCAAACUCCUACGGAAGGCAGCAG